rnacentral:rRNA from 1 species
UACGUAGGGUGCAAGCGUUGUCCGGAAUUAUUGGGCGUAAAGAGCUCGUAGGCGGUUUGUUGCGUCGGCUGUGAAAUCCCGAGGCUCAACCUCGGGUCUGCAGUCGAUACGAGCAAACUAGAGUGUUGCAGGGAGACUGGAAUUCCUGGUGUAGCGGUGAAAUGCGCAGAUAUCAGGAGGAACACCGGUGGCGAAGGCGGCUUCCUGGACCGACACUGACGCUGGAGGCGACGGAAAGCUAGGGGAGCAAACGG